UACGUAGGGACCAAGCGUUGUCCGGAAUCAUUGGGCGUAAAGCGCGCGUAGGUGGCCAUUUAAGUCCGCUGUGAAAGUCAGAGGCCCAACCUUUGAAAGCCGGUGGAUACUGGAUGGCUAGAGUACGGAAGAGGCGAGUGGAAUUCCUGGUGUAGCGGUGGAAUGCGUAGAGAUCCGGAGGAAGACCGGUGGCGAAGGCGGUCUGCUGGGCAGUUUCUGACACUGAGGCG
rnacentral:rRNA from 1 species